rnacentral:rRNA from 1 species
GUAGGGUGCGAGCGUUGUCCGGAAUUACUGGGCGUAAAGAGCUCGUAGGUGGUUUGUCGCGUUGUCCGUGAAAUCCCACGGCUUAACUGUGGGCGUGCGGGCGAUACGGGCAGACUAGAGUGCUGCAGGGGAGACUGGAAUUCCUGGUGUAGCGGUGGAAUGCGCAGAUAUCAGGAGGAACACCGGUGGCGAAGGCGAGUCUCUGGGCAGCUACUGACGCUGAGGAGCGAAAGCGUGGGGAGCGAGCAGGAUUAGAUACCCUGGUAGUCCACGCCGUAAACGGUGGGUACUAGGUGUGGGUUCUUUCCUAAGGAUCCGUGCCGUAGCUAACGCAUUAAGUACCCCGCCUGGGGAGUACGGCCGCAAGGCUA